rnacentral:snoRNA from 1 species
CCCCUCUCAGGGUCGCACCUGGAGAGUUUCCAGUAGUCUACCAGUCUCGGCUACGGGAGAGAGAGUCAAGCAGAGGCCAGACCAGUCCAUUCCUAGCUUGGCCAGUGGCUAGCCAGUGGAAGGCAAUCUGCUACAAGU